CCAAUAGCGUAUAUUAAAGCUGUUGCAGUUAAAAAGCUCGUAGUUGAAUUUCGGGAUCAAUUUAUUGGUCGUGCUAUUGUACGUACUGGUAUUAUUGAUUCCUACCUUCUGACGAACCAUGAUGUCAUUAAUUUGGUGUCAUGGGGAAUCAGGACUGUUACUUUGAAAAAAUUAGAGUGUUUAAAGCAGGCUCACGCUUGAAUACAUUAGCAUGGAAUAACGAAAUAGGACGUUUGAUUCUAUUUUGUUGGUUUCUAGGAUCGACGUAAUGAUUAAUAGGGAUAGUUGGGGGCAUUAGUAUUCAAUUGUCAGAGGUGAAAUUCUUGGAUUUAUUGAAGACUAACUACUGCGAAAGCAUUUGCCAAGGAUGUUUUCAUUAAUCAAGAACGAAAGUUAGGGGAUCGAAGACGAUCAGAUACCGUCGUAGUCUUAACCAUAAACUAUGCCGACUAGGGAUCGGAUGAUGUUAAUUUUUUAAUGACUCAUUCGGCGCCUUACG
rnacentral:rRNA from 1 species